GAUUCAGGAAGGCAAUGUACCGAGGAUAAUUCUUCUUCCAGUACCUCUACUUCUUGCAGUAGAAGCAUUCCGUCUGACUCUGGUCGGACUUAGAUUUUUUGGUCUGAUAGGGCUUGGGUGCCCCAGCAUUUUGCAUCAUUUUUUUGUUCUUCUUUCCUUUCUUAAAAGAUCGACAUCCAGAAGAAAACUCUCCCACACAUUCACC
rnacentral:lncRNA from 1 species